rnacentral:rRNA from 1 species
UGGGGAAUUUUGGACAAUGGGCGAAAGCCUGAUCCAGCAAUGCCGCGUGUGUGAAGAAGGCCUUCGGGUUGUAAAGCACUUUUGUCCGGAAAGAAAUCCUUGGCUCUAAUACAGUCGGGGGAUGACGGUACCGGAAGAAUAAGCACCGGCUAACUACGUGCCAGCAGCCGCGGUAAUACGUAGGGUGCAAGCGUUAAUCGGAAUUACUGGGCGUAAAGCGUGCGCAGGCGGUUUGCUAAGACCGAUGUGAAAUCCCCGGGCUCAACCUGGGAACUGCAUUGGUGACUGGCAGGCUAGAGUAUGGCAGAGGGGGGUAGAAUUCCACGUGUAGCAGUGAAAUGCGUAGAGAUGUGGAGGAAUACCGAUGGCGAAGGCAGCCCCCUGGGCCAAUACUGACGCUCAUGCACGAAAGCGUGGGGGAGCAAACAGGAUUAGAUA